CACGAGACCGAUAGCGAACAAGUACCAUGAGGGAAAGUUGAAAAGAACUUUGAAGAGAGAGUUCAAGAGUACGUGAAACCGUUCAGGGGUAAACCUGAGAAACCCGAAAAUUCGAAUGGGGAGAUUCAUCGUCAGUGGUGCUGGCUUCGCAGUGGUGGGCGAUGCUAUGAGCUGCGGUUCAUGGCACGUUGCCGCUGUGUAUGUCCGGUGUCGUCGUCGUGCACUUCUCCCCUAGUAGGACGUCGCGACCCGCUGGGUGUUGGACUACGGCCUGGAUGGUAGCCUGUCUCGUCGCUACGGCGUUCGUGACAGACCUUCAGUGUCUCCCGUCCAACUGCUCGGCGGUAUUUUGCGAUAGUAUUCGGCCGCAACAGAUGUUAUCGAGUUGCGUCAUUGGCCCGUGGCAAGCGCGGUCAGUGUCCCGUGUGGUACGGACUCAGUGCCGACGCCGGGCCUGGCCAACUGUUGGCUCACGGUGUCCUCUGACAGGCCGCU
rnacentral:rRNA from 1 species